rnacentral:rRNA from 1 species
GACGGAGGAUGCAAGUGUUAUCCGGAAUCACUGGGCGUAAAGCGUCUGUAGGUGGUUUAAAAAGUCCACUGUUAAAGAUUGAAGCUUAACUUCAAAAAUGCCGUGGAAACUUUUAAACUUGAGUAUGAUAGGGGUAGAGGGAAUUUCCAGUGGAGCGGUGAAAUGCGUAGAUAUUGGAAAGACCACCAAUGGCGAAGGCACUCUACUGGGCCAUUACUGACACUGAGAGACGAAAGCUAGGGUAGCGAACGGG